GCCGGGCGUGGUGGCGCACGCCUGUAAUCCCAGCUAUUCAGGAGGCUGAGGCAGGAGAAUCAUUUGAACCCAGGAGGUAGAGGUUGCAGUGAGCCGAGAUCACAUCACUGCACUCCAGCCUGGGUGACAGAGUGAGACUCUGUCUCAA
rnacentral:SRP_RNA from 1 species